GGCGGGCUGGUAUAGCCCGUGAAAAUAGUAACUUUGGUACUCAGUCUGUGAAACUGGUCGUAUCUUGUCCUGCGUGAAAGGAAGUGAUGGAGGCAGUGUGUACCCUUGGGACACCUAAGUAUAUCUGCUGGUCUGUAUGUUGGUGUAUCCCAGAAGGUGGUACCCUCUUCCUGAAAGGAAGUUAAUAUGGAUAAGGUCACCUGUGUUCCCAAAUGGGAAAGAGCUUUUGAAAGCAGUAUUUCCAUUCACUCAAGACAUGGUGUGGGACAGCUCUUCCAAUAGCAACAGAGUAUUCCUUCUGCAGAAGAAAUUUCUUAGAAUCAAGGCAGGAAAACUCGGAUGACCAUGCAGUCAAUACAGGAUGCAAGCGCGAUUGUCAUGGACCAGUUGCAGAUCUUACUUUGUUAUGUUUGAGCUGUAAAUUGAGAAUACAUGCUGUUGACAUCAGUCUCCCACUUUCUUGGAAAUACUGUCCUCCAGUGAAGAGAAGGCAAGGCAAGUGCUGGAUAGAAUAAUAAUAUACUAAACAUUAGUGUCUUGUGGGGUAUGGCACCAUGUAGUCUGGCAGAGGAAACUGCUACCUCCAUUGUUAGGUGAAGGAGUGCACCUCAGGUCACACGUAAACAUACACUGAUGUAGUGUUGGGCAGUAGCCACUGCUGAGACUCAGUUCGGUUCUAUAUUUAUCCAGCAGAGUUUUCGGAGUGUACGGUGUUGAAACCUCGGUGGAGUCGGAUGAAAAUAUUUGUCUUACAAUUACAGUUACCAAGCAUUUUCUUUCAUCGUUUCUGAUUUAUAUAAGGCUGUAAUGGACUUUCCAUAUAUUCCUUGAACUGUUUCACAGAUGUUAUUAAAAUUCAAUGCUGGAGUUCCACCAUAAAAUAUCAGGCAGUACUGGUUUUCAACCAUCUGCAUUUAAAAUAAUGCUUAGUUCAUAUAAGGUCAUAAAUUGACUUUUGCAUGUGUCGCAUCAACCGUUUCACAGGUAAUGAUAAAAUUCAACAGAGUUUAUUGAUACACACAGAGCAAAUUACAGUACUUUACCACUUGGUAAUUUUUACUUCCAUUACAUCUUGAGCUGGGGUAGCACAGUCAGUAUAGCAACUGGCUAUGGGCUAGACGACCAAAAGGCCAGGGUUUGAGUGCUGAUGGGGGCAAGAAUUUUCACUUCUCCAUGUUGUCCAGUCUGUCUCUGGGGUGCACCCAGCCUCCUAUCUAGUGGGC